GUCAUCAUCAUCGCCACCGCCGCCGCUGUCGUCGUCGUCGUCGUCGUCGCCGCAGCAGCAGCCAUCGUCGUCGCUGCCGCUGUUGCCGCCGAUCGUCUUUUACCACCCCCUCGUGCCGCUCGCGCGCCGCGCUCGCAUAUAUUCUCGGUGCAGUCUACGCGCAACGGCGUGAACGUGACCGCGAGUGCCACCGCCUCCGCUGCCGCCGUCGCCGCUGCUGCCGCCGCCGCCGCCGCCGUCGUCGCUGCUGCUGCCGCCGCCGCCGCCGCCGCCGUCGCCGCCGCCGCCGCCGCCGCUGCCUGUCGUCAAUUCUGAAGUACGAGGAACGCGGAAAGAAAGAACUGUGACGUGCCAAUUAAUAUGAGUUUUACCACACCCGACGGGAGAUCCUGACUGUUUUCUUGUGUCGUCGUCUCCUGGUGUUUCACCGUCGCAACGACCACGCUAAAUUGUUACCGGUGAGGAGUACAAACUCGGCACAGCUAUGGCAGAAGGGAAUGGGGAGAUAAAAAUGGAAGAAAAACAGUCAAAGGAGGAAAUGGAAUAUGUGGAACGGACAGAAGACUUUAACAAACUCAUGCAAUACGGACUGGACGAGAAAGUGGCUGCCAAACUGGAUGAGAUCUAUAAAACAGGAAAAUUGGCUCAUGUCGACCUGGAUGAGAGGGCUCUCGAUGCUCUAAAGGAAUUCCCAGUUGACGGUGCGCUAAAUGUACUCACGCAAUUUCUAGAGUCUAAUUUGGAACAUGUAUCUAACAAAUCUGCAUAUCUUUGCGGAGUGAUGAAGACAUACCGACAAAAGAGUCGUGCUGGUCAAGGUACAGGCACCAGUACGACACCAAAAGCUCCAGAUGAGGACAAAAUCAAGAUGAUUCUGGAAAGAACAGGAUAUCCUUUGGAUGUGACUACUGGACAAAGAAAAUACGGUGGUCCUCCUCCAAAUUGGGAGGGUCCUACACCUGGCACUGGUUGUGAGGUAUUUUGUGGCAAAAUCCCAAAAGACAUGUAUGAAGACGAAUUAAUUCCAUUAUUUGAGAAAUGCGGAAAAAUUUGGGACUUGAGACUGAUGAUGGACCCCAUGUCAGGUUCCAACAGAGGAUACGCAUUUAUCACAUUUACAAACAGGGAAGCUGCGCAGCAGGCUGUCCGAGAGCUGAAUGAUUAUGAGAUUCGGAAAGGGAAAAAGAUUGGUGUUACCGUAUCUUAUAACAAUCACCGCUUGUUUGUGGGAAAUAUUCCAAAGAAUCGAGACCGAGAUGACUUGUUCGAAGAGUUUACAAAGCACGCACCUGGCCUGACCGAAGUGAUUAUCUACAGCUCACCGGAUGACAAAAAGAAGAAUAGAGGUUUUUGCUUUUUGGAGUAUGAAUCUCACAAAGCAGCUUCCUUAGCCAAACGAAGAUUGAGCACUGGACGUAUCAAGGUUUGGGGAUGUGAUAUUAUUGUUGACUGGGCCGACCCUCAAGAGGAACCAGAUGAACAAACCAUGUCCAAAGUGCGCGUGCUUUACGUACGGAAUUUAACACAAGAUUGCUCUGAAGAGAAACUGAAGGAAAGUUUCGAACAAUAUGGAAAAAUCGAACGAGUGAAGAAGAUCAAGGAUUACGCUUUUAUACACUUUGAAGAUAGAGAUAACGCUGUUAGGGCAAUGAACGAACUAAAUGGGAAGGAAAUGGGUGGAUCCCACAUAGAAGUUUCAUUGGCAAAACCGCCGUCUGACAAAAAGAAGAAAGAAGAGAUGUUGCGCGCUAGGGAAAGACGAAUGAUGCAGAUGUUACAGGGUAGAGGCGGUGGAUCUCCAUCUCACCCGAGCAUGAUGGGAGGACCAAUGCCAGUUCGCGGACCUGCACAGGGACCUCGAGGUACUGGCGCAGGUAUGCGUGGACAGAUGGGACGUGGCGAUUACGCUCUCAAGGAAAUAGAUUAUGAUUACGACUAUUACGGUUAUGGGGAUUAUCGAGGUGGCUACAGUGAUCCCUAUUACGAUGACUAUUAUCGAUACGAAGAUUACUAUUUCGAUUAUGCGCCGCCUCCGCCGCCUGCCAGAGGGAGGGGCAGGCAGCCUCAACCGCUGCCAGUGCAGUAGCUUCUGUCGCUUAAAGUUACUACGCCAACGUUCGCUUUUCGCUUUGGAUAACUCUGCUCAGUCCUGCUGUAUGUAAGGACGUGGCUGGUCGUGGCCGUGGAGUAGCGCCACGUGGCCGAAUCGGUGGCCCGCAAACCCGUGGGCCAGUCAGGGGGGGACGCAACCCCGCAACUUCAGGGCCCCGUGGGGUCCAGCGGCUGGCCGCUCGUGGGGGGGUCCGCGCCAAGGGAAGUUUACC
rnacentral:misc_RNA from 1 species